AUUAUGCUGAGUGUCAUUUUUGGUUUUUGGAGUUGACAGAAGCCAUGGCUCAAACUUUCAAGCUCCUGUGGCAAUGCAGAAUUACUGAAUGGCAGAUUAUAGAAUGCAUGUGAGUGCUUGGUCCCAGCCUUUGGGACGUGUGGAAUUCAAUGGGGUAGGCGAUGUCUGCGAAUAUGGCUGCCUGCAUUGCCGUAGAGAGCAUAUCAAUUCUUGAGAAGCUCCAUUCUAAUGGCGCCACAGCUCAGUUGUCAUGAUAAUGAAAGACCCUGAUGCACAGCUCCACCUUCUGCCUGAUAGAUGCUUCAUGGCACAGGACAUUAUGCACAAACAGCCCCUGCUCUUUUUGCAGGACCUUUGAAGGAGCUGAGGUUGUUCCUUGGUACACUGCAUGCUCCCGUUUCAUCUUCAAAGGAGGGUGGAAGGCACAGAGAAAAGAGAAGCUGAUAUCAGAGAAGUGUCAAGGGAUGAGCUGGAAUUCCUUCUAGAUCAUGAGUUGUGGUUCAAUGCUCUAAACACAAGCUUGAUAUGAAACUUUACUGAUGGCACUGUCAGGGCUGGAGGUACAUUACUGUUGGUCAGCUCUCCAUC